UGGGGAAUUUUGGACAAUGGGCGAAAGCCUGAUCCAGCAAUGCCGCGUGUGUGAAGAAGGCCUUCGGGUUGUAAAGCACUUUUGUCCGGAAAGAAAUCCUUGGCUCUAAUACAGUCGGGGGAUGACGGUACCGGAAGAAUAAGCACCGGCUAACUACGUGCCAGCAGCCGCGGUAAUACGUAGGGUGCAAGCGUUAAUCGGAAUUACUGGGCGUAAGGCGUGCGCAGGCGGUUUGCUAAGACCGAUGUGAAAUCCCCGGGCUCAACCUGGGAACUGCAUUGGUGACUGGCAGGCUAGAGUAUGGCAGAGGGGGGUAGAAUUCCACGUGUAGCAGUGAAAUGCGUAGAGAUGUGGAGGAAUACCGAUGGCGAAGGCAGCCCCCUGGGCCAAUACUGACGCUCAUGCACGAAAGCGUGGGGAGCAAACAGGAUUAGAUACCCUGGUAGUCCACGCCCUAAAACGAUGUCAACUAGUUGUUGGGGAUUCAUUUCCUUAGUAACGUAGCUAACGCGUG
rnacentral:rRNA from 1 species